GGGUUGUGAGGUUAAGCGACUAAGCGUACACGGUGGAUGCCCUGGCAGUCAGAGGCGAUGAAGGACGUGCUAAUCUGCGAUAAGCGUCGGUAAGGUGAUAUGAACCGUUAUAACCGGCGAUUUCCGAAUGGGGAAACCCAGUGUGAUUCGUCACACUAUCAUUAACUGAAUCCAUAGGUUAAUGAGGCGAACCGGGGGAACUGAAACAUCUAAGUACCCCGAGGAAAAGAAAUCAACCGAGAUUCCCCCAGUAGCGGCGAGCGAACGGGGAGGAGCCCAGAGCCUGAAUCAGUGUGUGUGUUAGUGGAAGCGUCUGGAAAGGCGCGCGAUACAGGGUGACAGCCCCGUACACAAAAAUGCACAUGCUGUGAGCUCGAUGAGUAGGGCGGGACACGUGGUAUCCUGUCUGAAUAUGGGGGGACCAUCCUCCAAGGCUAAAUACUCCUGACUGACCGAUAGUGAACCAGUACCGUGAGGGAAAGGCGAAAAGAACCCCGGCGAGGGGAGUGAAAAAGAACCUGAAACCGUGUACGUACAAGCAGUGGGAGCACGCUUAGGCGUGUGACUGCGUACCUUUUGUAUAAUGGGUCAGCGACUUAUAUUCUGUAGCAAGGUUAACCGAAUAGGGGAGCCGAAGGGAAACCGAGUCUUAACUGGGCGUUAAGUUGCAGGGUAUAGACCCGAAACCCGGUGAUCUAGCCAUGGGCAGGUUGAAGGUUGGGUAACACUAACUGGAGGACCGAACCGACUAAUGUUGAAAAAUUAGCGGAUGACUUGUGGCUGGGGGUGAAAGGCCAAUCAAACCGGGAGAUAGCUGGUUCUCCCCGAAAGCUAUUUAGGUAGCGCCUCGUGAAUUCAUCUCCGGGGGUAGAGCACUGUUUCGGCAAGGGGGUCAUCCCGACUUACCAACCCGAUGCAAACUGCGAAUACCGGAGAAUGUUAUCACGGGAGACACACGGCGGGUGCUAACGUCCGUCGUGAAGAGGGAAACAACCCAGACCGCCAGCUAAGGUCCCAAAGUCAUGGUUAAGUGGGAAACGAUGUGGGAAGGCCCAGACAGCCAGGAUGUUGGCUUAGAAGCAGCCAUCAUUUAAAGAAAGCGUAAUAGCUCACUGGUCGAGUCGGCCUGCGCGGAAGAUGUAACGGGGCUAAACCAUGCACCGAAGCUGCGGCAGCGACGCUGAUGCGUUGUUGGGUAGGGGAGCGUUCUGUAAGCCUGCGAAGGUGUGCUGUGAGGCAUGCUGGAGGUAUCAGAAGUGCGAAUGCUGACAUAAGUAACGAUAAAGCGGGUGAAAAGCCCGCUCGCCGGAAGACCAAGGGUUCCUGUCCAACGUUAAUCGGGGCAGGGUGAGUCGACCCCUAAGGCGAGGCCGAAAGGCGUAGUCGAUGGGAAACAGGUUAAUAUUCCUGUACUUGGUGUUACUGCGAAGGGGGGACGGAGAAGGCUAUGUUGGCCGGGCGACGGUUGUCCCGGUUUAAGCGUGUAGGCUGGUUUUCCAGGCAAAUCCGGAAAAUCAAGGCUGAGGCGUGAUGACGAGGCACUACGGUGCUGAAGCAACAAAUGCCCUGCUUCCAGGAAAAGCCUCUAAGCAUCAGGUAACAUCAAAUCGUACCCCAAACCGACACAGGUGGUCAGGUAGAGAAUACCAAGGCGCUUGAGAGAACUCGGGUGAAGGAACUAGGCAAAAUGGUGCCGUAACUUCGGGAGAAGGCACGCUGAUAUGUAGGUGAAGUCCCUCGCGGAUGGAGCUGAAAUCAGUCGAAGAUACCAGCUGGCUGCAACUGUUUAUUAAAAACACAGCACUGUGCAAACACGAAAGUGGACGUAUACGGUGUGACGCCUGCCCGGUGCCGGAAGGUUAAUUGAUGGGGUCAGCGCAAGCGAAGCUCUUGAUCGAAGCCCCGGUAAACGGCGGCCGUAACUAUAACGGUCCUAAGGUAGCGAAAUUCCUUGUCGGGUAAGUUCCGACCUGCACGAAUGGCGUAAUGAUGGCCAGGCUGUCUCCACCCGAGACUCAGUGAAAUUGAACUCGCUGUGAAGAUGCAGUGUACCCGCGGCAAGACGGAAAGACCCCGUGAACCUUUACUAUAGCUUGACACUGAACAUUGAGCCUUGAUGUGUAGGAUAGGUGGGAGGCUUUGAAGUGUGGACGCCAGUCUGCAUGGAGCCGACCUUGAAAUACCACCCUUUAAUGUUUGAUGUUCUAACGUGGACCCGUAAUCCGGGUUGCGGACAGUGUCUGGUGGGUAGUUUGACUGGGGCGGUCUCCUCCUAAAGAGUAACGGAGGAGCACGAAGGUUGGCUAAUCCUGGUCGGACAUCAGGAGGUUAGUGCAAUGGCAUAAGCCAGCUUGACUGCGAGCGUGACGGCGCGAGCAGGUGCGAAAGCAGGUCAUAGUGAUCCGGUGGUUCUGAAUGGAAGGGCCAUCGCUCAACGGAUAAAAGGUACUCCGGGGAUAACAGGCUGAUACCGCCCAAGAGUUCAUAUCGACGGCGGUGUUUGGCACCUCGAUGUCGGCUCAUCACAUCCUGGGGCUGAAGUAGGUCCCAAGGGUAUGGCUGUUCGCCAUUUAAAGUGGUACGCGAGCUGGGUUUAGAACGUCGUGAGACAGUUCGGUCCCUAUCUGCCGUGGGCGCUGGAGAACUGAGGGGGGCUGCUCCUAGUACGAGAGGACCGGAGUGGACGCAUCACUGGUGUUCGGGUUGUCAUGCCAAUGGCACUGCCCGGUAGCUAAAUGCGGAAGAGAUAAGUGCUGAAAGCAUCUAAGCACGAAACUUGCCCCGAGAUGAGUUCUCCCUGACUCCUUGAGAGUCCUGAAGGAACGUUGAAGACGACGACGUUGAUAGGCCGGGUGUGUAAGCGCAGCGAUGCGUUGAGCUAACCGGUACUAAUGAACCGUGAGGCUUAACCUUACAACGCCGAAGCUGUU
rnacentral:rRNA from 1 species